rnacentral:rRNA from 1 species
GACGAACGCUGGCGGCGUGCUUAACACAUGCAAGUCGAACGGAAAGGCCCUGCUUUUGUGGGGUGCUCGAGUGGCGAACGGGUGAGUAACACGUGAGUAACCUGCCCUUGACUUUGGGAUAACUUCAGGAAACUGGGGCUAAUACCGGAUAGGAGCUCCUGCUGCAUGGCGGGGGUUGGAAAGUUUCGGCGGUUGGGGAUGGACUCGCGGCUUAUCAGCUUGUUGGUGGGGUAGUGGCUUACCAAGGCUUUGACGGGUAGCCGGCCUGAGAGGGUGACCGGCCACAUUGUGACUGAGAUACGGCCCAGACUCCUACGGGAGGCAGCAGUGGGGAAUAUUGCACAAUGGGCGGAAGCCUGAUGCAGCAACGCCGCGUGCGGGAUGACGGCCUUCGGGUUGUAAACCGCUUUCGCCUGUGACGAAGCGUGAGUGACGGUAAUGGGUAAAGAAGCACCGGCUAACUACGUG